rnacentral:lncRNA from 1 species
UCCACACUCUCCCCUGAUUAUAAAACAUAGUAUAUGAAAAAAAAAACUAAAAUAUAUGUAGAAGAAAACUAAAAUAUAGUCUGCAGAGCUGCUUCUCAAAGUUGUUGUCUCUCAGCCUCUAUCUAGCCCUCCUCAGGAUCAAGACAGUCUUCGAGAAUAAACGCUCACUGCUGGCACUACUGGGAAGCACGGUAUUGUAUCUUUGAAAUACCUUUUUGGCUCUCCGGUAGGCUAAAAUCAUUUCCAAACCUUCAGUCACUAGUUAGACAUUUUUCCACUUCUUGCUUAUUCGUAUCCAUCUUUUUCGGACAUUUGGUGAAGAAAUUACUCUUCAGUAUUUGUAGUGCCAAAAAUUCCUAUUUAUAAAUUUCAGCCGAAAUAAUUUCCAACGACAUAUAUAAGGAUCGAGACCAAUUGCGAUACUGCGAUCAGCGAUAUAAAAUCGCCAUAUCGCAAUUGAUCCCCGAUCAGAAAAAACACCGAUCAACAAGCCUGUUAAUAACCGCCGGGGCGUCCGCAGGGAGUGGGAUGUACCCCUCCAAAUUAUGGAAUUUUUGGCUCCCCAAAAAAUAUAAUCCUGCGGACGCCAUCGAGACCCUACUCAGCACUUUUUUCCACCAUUGAAUUAGCACCAUUUGAUCUUCAGUAUUAAAGUGUAUAUUCACAUAAUAUUUGUUUUUGAUUAUAAAAAUCUUGUUUCAAUUAAAAAUAU